rnacentral:lncRNA from 1 species
UUUACCAAAGGAAAAAUACAUCACCAAGUUUUGCCGAAGCCGGGAUUAAUCUGGAUGCUGAACCAGGACCUUUGACUUCUAUCGACCUGUGCACGGAAACAACCGUACGCUGAGUAAUUCAUACUCAGUGGUAUUACCAUAAUUCAAAUUAUAACAAUAAUGUACAUGUAAUGCAUAAAUCGUAUAUACAAUUUAAAUUCAAAUUCCACAUUUCAAUAAUAACAAAUCAUCAACUAAUAUCACACAUCCACAAUUUAAAUUUAAACAUUUCAUGAACCUUAGGUUCAUUUCUCAAUCUCAUUUCACAUUUCAAUUCACAAUUCAACUUUUUCAUUUCAUUUCAGUAGCUCGUUCGAUCAACUCGUUCGGUUUAUCAUUUCAUUAAUUACCUUAUUAACGAAACUCGGACUUUGGCGAAUACACGAAUCCAACCAAACACACCAGUAUGGCACCCAGUGCCUCAUCGGAUAGUUCGAAGCAAUAAUUGACACCCAGUGUCUCAUCGGCAGAGCCGAAGAAAGUUGGUACCCAGUACCUCAUCGAAUCUAUCCGAAGAAAUAUAGUGACACCCAGUGUCUCAUCGACUCGAGGUCGAAGUAUCCCUGAACUCUUCCAAUCCUAUGGCAUGCCAACUAUAUCCGACUCAGCCCGACUAGUUAAUAGGGUAUUUAAAUCACAUAUAUUUUCAAUUCAAUCACAAUUUCUCACACUUUCAAUUCAAUCAUUUUUUCCACCUUCAAUCAAUAAUUAUUUCACAAAUUCACACAUUUUCACAACUCAAUACAUUUCCAUACAAUUUAAUACCAUUCACAAUUCGAUUCAAAUUCAUUUCCCGCUUUCAAUCAACAAACAAUUCAAAUAUUAAUUCAUAUAAACUAUUCAAUUUAAUUCCCACUCAUAAUAAUAAUAAUAAUACUAAUAAUAAAUUAAUACUAAUAUUAAUACUUACCUCACAUUUCAUUUACUAGACACAUAAAUUAAAAUUUAGCAUUUAAUAAUAAAUAACUUGAAUUAUAGUAAUACAAACCGUUAUUCUCCCGUUUUAGUCCUCGAUAACUUUCUCCUUUCCUUUUGACGCUGAUGCCUCGGGUUCUUUGUUAGCAAUUUAAAUUUCAAGCUUCAAAAACCCUAUUUUCCAUUUUUUCUUCUUUUUCUUCUUUCUC